rnacentral:pre_miRNA from 1 species
AUGUGCCUGGCUCCCUGUAUGCCAUUUGCAGAGCACCACCGGAACAGCGAUGGCCUCCGUGAAUGGCGUAUGAGGAGCCAUGCAUAU